GUCAGGAUGGCCGAGGGGUCCAAGGCGCCAGACUCAAGCUGUGGAGCCGUGGGUUCGAAUCCCACUUCUGACA